rnacentral:rRNA from 1 species
GACGAACGCUGGCGGCGUGCUUAACACAUGCAAGUCGAACGGAAAGGCCCUGCUUUUGUGGGGUGCUCGAGUGGCGAACGGGUGAGUAACACGUGAGUAACCUGCCCUUGACUUUGGGAUAACUUCAGGAAACUGGGGCUAAUACCGGAUAGGAGCUCCUGCUGCAUGGUGGGGGUUGGAAAGUUUCGGCGGUUGGGGAUGGACUCGCGGCUUAUCAGCUUGUUGGUAGGGUAGUGGCUUACCAAGGCUAUGACGGGUAGCCGGCCUGAGAGGGUGACCGGGCACACUGGGAGGGAGACACGGCCGAGAACCCUGCGGGAGGAAGCAGUGGGGAAUAUUGGACUAUGGGCGAAAGACUGAUCCCGGAAUGCCGCGUGAGUGAUGAAGGCCUGAGGGUGGUAAAGCUCGUUUACACGGGAGGAUAAUGACAGUACCGGGAGAAUAAGCUCCGGCUAACUCCGUG